rnacentral:ncRNA from 1 species
UCGAGCCGGAUGAUGAAAAAUUAUCAUGUCCGGUUCCUUCGGAGGAUGGAUUUUUAAGAAUUCACCUAUCCCAAU